GACGAACGCUGGCGGCGUGCUUAACACAUGCAAGUCGAACGGAAAGGCCUCUUUCGGGGGGUACUCGAGUGGCGAACGGGUGAGUAACACGUGAGUAACCUGCCCUUGACUUUGGGAUAACUUCAGGAAACUGGGGCUAAUACCGGAUAGGAGCUCCUGCUGCAUGGUGGGGGUUGGAAAGUUUCGGCGGUUGGGGAUGGACUCGCGGCGUAUCAGCUUGUUGGGGGGGUAGUGGCUUACCAAGGCUUUGACGGGUAGCCGGCCUGAGAGGGUGACCGGCCACAUUGGGACUGAGAGACGGCACAGACGCCUACGGGAGGAAGAAGUGGGGAAUAUUGCACAAUGGGUGGAAGCCGGAUGCAGCAACGCCGUGUGCGGGAUGACGGCCUUCGGGUUGUAAACCGCUUUCGCUCAUGACGAAGCUUUGUGUGACGGUAGUGGGUAAAGAAGCACCGGCUAACUACGUG
rnacentral:rRNA from 1 species